GCUAAACGCGAAGAACCUUACCUACCUUUGAAUCCACGGAAUCUUGCAGAAAUGUGAGAGUGCCUUCGGGAACCGUGAGACAGGUGCUGCAUGGCUGUCGUCAGCUCGUGUCGUGAGAUGUUGGGUUAAGUCCCGUAACGAGCGCAACCCUUGUCCUUAGUUACCAGCGAGUUAUGGUCGGGGACUUUAAGGAGACUGCCGGUGAUAAACCGGAGGAAGGGUGGGGAUGACGUCAAGUCCUCAUCGGCCCUUACAGGGUAGGGCCACACACGUGCUACAAUGGCCGGUAACGAAAGGGUUGCCAACCCGCGAGGGGGAGCUAAUCUCAAAAAGCCGGUCGUAGUCCGGAUUGGAGUCUGCAACUCGACUCCAUGAAGCUGGAAUCGCUAGUAAUCGCGGAUCAGAACGCCACGGUGAAUACGUUCCCGGGUCUUGUACACACCG
rnacentral:rRNA from 1 species